AACGAACGCUGGCGGCAUGCCUAACACAUGCAAGUCGAACGAGACCUUCGGGUCUAGUGGCGCACGGGUGCGUAACGCGUGGGAACCUGCCCUUGGGUUCGGAAUAACUCCCCGAAAGGGGUGCUAAUACCGGAUAAUGUCUUCGGACCAAAGAUUUAUCGCCUUUGGAUGGGCCCGCGUUGGAUUAGCUAGUUGGUAGGGUAAAAGCCUACCAAGGCGACGAUCCUUAGCUGGUCUGAGAGGAUGAUCAGCCACACUGGGACUGAGACACGGCCCAGACUCCUACGGGAGGCAGCAGUGGGGAAUAUGGGACAAUGGGCGAAAGCCGGAUCCAGCAAUGCCGCGGGAGUGAUGAAGGCCUUAGGGUGGUAAAGCUCUUUUACCCGGGAUGAUAAGGACAGUACCGGGAGAAUAAGCUCCGGCAAACUCCGU
rnacentral:rRNA from 1 species